UACUAGAGUAGCACUCGCAUAUCAAUAAGCGGAGGAAAAGAAACUAACAAGGAUUCCCCUAGUAACGGCGAGUGAAGCGGGAAGAGCUCAAAUUUGAAAUCUUAAAGGGUUUCCCUUUACGAAUUGUAGUUUAAAGAAGUGUUUUCUGUUGAGGUUUUGGUAAAAGUUCUUUGGAAUAGGACAUCAUAGAGGGUGAGAAUCCCGUAUUUGACCUUUACUUUCAACUUUGUGAUACACUUUCAAAGAGUCGGAUUGUUUGGGAAUGCAGUCCAAAAUGGGUGGUAAAUUUCAUCUAAAGCUAAAUAUUGGCGAGAGACCGAUAGCGAACAAGUACCGUGAGGGAAAGAUGAAAAGAACUUUGAAAAGAGAGUUAAACAGUACGUGAAAUUGUCGAAAGGGAAGCGUUUGACACCAGUGUUGUUUUUCUGAAAAUCAAUUAAAGAACUGUUUAUGCUAAGCUGUUUAGACUUUAUCAGCUAUCUGUUUAGUUUUGAGCUUUUCUUUAAUGCACUUUUCAGUUAACAAGUCAACAUCAAUUUCUUUUGCUGUAAAAAAGCUUGAGGAAGGUGGCUUGAGAUUCGUCUUAAGUGUUUAUAGCCUCUCGCCUAUGCAGUCGGAGAGAUUGAGGUCUGCAGCGUAGAUCCUUCGGGGCUAAAUGCAUUUGUGCUAAGUUAUAGCAUUUUAUAGACAACUUGUUGACUAUGAUUUGUCUUGUAGCUUACUCGCUUAUGUUAUUUUACCUACGCUUAGGAUGUUGAACUCUAUCACACACAG
rnacentral:rRNA from 1 species